AUUGAACGCUGGCGGCAUGCCUUACACAUGCAAGUCGAACGGCAGCAUGGAGAGCUUGCUCUCUGAUGGCGAGUGGCGAACGGGUGAGUAAUGCAUCGGAACGUACCGUGUAAUGGGGGAUAACGUAGCGAAAGUUACGCUAAUACCGCAUACGACCUGAGGGUGAAAGCAGGGGAUCGCAAGACCUUGCGUUAUACGAGCGGCCGAUGUCAGAUUAGCUAGUUGGGGAGGUAAAGGCUCACCAAGGCGACGAUCUGUAGCGGGUCUGAGAGGAUGAUCCGCCACACUGGGACUGAGACACGGCCCAGACUCCUACGGGAGGCAGCAGUGGGGAAUUUUGGACAAUGGGGGCAGCCCUGAUCCAGCCAUGCCGCGUGAGUGAAGAAGGCCUUCGGGUUGUAAAGCUCUUUCGGCCGGGAAGAAAUCGCACAGGCUAAUACUCUGUGUGGAUGACGGUACCGGCAUAAGAAGCACCGGCUAACUACGUGCCAGCCGCCGCGGUAA
rnacentral:rRNA from 1 species